ACGGAGGGUGCAAGCGUUAAUCGGAAUUACUGGGCGUAAAGCGCACGCAGGCGGUCUCUUAAGUCAGAUGUGAAAGCCCCGGGCUCAACCUGGGAACUGCAUUUGAAACUGGGAGGCUUGAGUGCCGUAGAGGGGGGUGGAAUUCCAGGUGUAGGGGUGAAAUGCGUAGAUAUCUGGAGGAAUACCAGUGGCGAAGGCGGCCCCCUGGACAGCAACUGACGCUCAGGUGCGAAAGCGUGGGGAUCAAACAG
rnacentral:rRNA from 1 species